AGCGGAUGCAAGGGAGAUAGGCACAAAGGGCUGGACCUUCCUCACAAUGCAUUAGAUGUCCUACAACUAUGGUAAGGCAGUGAGUGAAUAACUCUGGGUAGCUGUUUCUUUAGAUCAUGUGAGUUCCUGCCAGAGAGGAAAACACAAACACUACUCCCCAGAAACAGCAAAUAGCCGUUGAGAAGUGCUAGGAAUCAGGUUUUUCCAUACCUGUUGUGGCUGCCACCAUUUUUCAUCUUGUUUUUCACUCCUCCAUCUGCCAGGAAUGGUGAGGCACCCACUCAUGCCAUCUAUCUCUCUCUUUUUUCAGCUUUGACACCUAUUUUACCAUCACCCUUUGGCAGCAGUAAUCCCUCCCUUGAGUAAUAACUCCUUCCCUGCCUCCUUCCCUGCCUGCAGCUUGAGGUGGAGCAUUAAGAAAUUGAGGAAAGAACAGGAAAAAUUUUCAUAACAGGGAGAGGUAGAGGCCUCUGAGGGAUGAGCUGGAAACAAUCCAGGUUAAACUAGAUGAAAGGUAGCAGGGGCAGGGAAAAGACAAAAUAGCUAUCAGUUUAUCAA
rnacentral:lncRNA from 1 species